AGACACUCUCCAAAAAGCAGAGACAGCAGGAAGAGGGGAGUGGAGGCAGCCCAUUCGCCUGGGGAAAUGACUGGGUUGUCGAUGGACAGUGGUGAGUGUGCUGGUGUGCGUGCCCGGGCGUGUGCGAUGCUGGGUGGCUCCGAUUGGCCUGCUUUUGUGGGGUCAGCUGGACCCUACUCUUCCCUCUCCUGCCACCUCAGCCUUCCAGAGUACCCAGCCCCUCUUCCUGUCGGCCUCCUCUCUAAGAAAAUUUGCAACUUAAAGGAGGACCCUGCUUUAACCCCAAAGAAAGAUAGCAUGAGUGGCAGAAAGGCAGCAGAUAGAAGCUGGAGAGCUGAGCGUUCCUCCUCGGCCUCCUGGCACACACCCACCCUGAGUUCAAUGCAUCUUGCUAGACCAUCUGAACUUGGGCGGGAGGCAGACGGGGUCCAUCUGGCUGGGGAAGGAGCAGGCCCCUCUGGUCAGCCUUCCUAGGCUGGAUUUGGGGUGAGAGCCCCCCAAGUUCAAGUCACACUCCCCAAGGCUUCCUGUCACAGGAACUGACUCAGGCCUGGAAACCAAGAGGGGCACUUGCUGACAGAGGCGGCAGCCCCAAGGGGGACGUGGACCCGUUCUACUAUGACUAUGAGACUGUUCGCAAUGGGGGCCUGAUCUUCGCUGGACUGGCCUUCAUCGUGGGGCUCCUCAUCCUCCUCAGCAGAAGAUUCCGCUGUGGGGGCAAUAAGAAGCGCAGGCAAAUCACUGAAGAUGAGCCGUAACAGCAGCCUCGGCGGUGCCACCCACUGCACUGGGGCCAGCUGGGAAGCCGAGCAUGGCCCUGCCUCUGGUGCCUCCCCUUCUUCCCUGGGCUGUAGACCUUUGUCCCGUCACUGCCAGCGCUUGGGCUGAAGGAAGCUCCAGACUCAAUGUGACCCCCAGGUGGCAUCGCCAACUCCUGCCUCGUGCCACCUCAUGCUUAUAAUAAAGCCGGCGUCAGAGACCGCUGCUUC
rnacentral:sRNA from 1 species